rnacentral:rRNA from 1 species
GACGAACGCUGGCGGCGUGCUUAACACAUGCAAGUCGAACGGUGAAGCGCCUUCCUUUUUGGUGGUGUGGAUGAGUGGCGAACGGGUGAGUAACACGUGAGUAACCUGCCCCCUUCUUCUGGAUAACCGCAUGAAAGUGUGGCUAAUACGGGAUAUUCUGGGUCUGUCGCAUGAUGGGUCUGGGAAAGAUAUUGUUUCGGUGGGGGAUGGGCUCGCGGCCUAUCAGCUUGUUGGUGGGGUGAUGGCCUACCAAGGCGGUGACGGGUAGCCGGCCUGAGAGGGUGGACGGUCACACUGGGACUGAGACACGGCCCAGACUCCUACGGGAGGCAGCAGUGGGGAAUAUUGCACAAUGGGCGCAAGCCUGAUGCAGCGACGCCGCGUGAGGGAUGGAGGCCUUCGGGUUGUGAACCUCUUUCGCCAGUGAAGCAGGCCUGCCUCGUUUGUGGGUGGGUUGACGGUAGCUGGAUAAGAAGCGCCGGCUAACUACGUG